UCCCGGAAUUCCCGGGAAUUCCCAGCUCGCAGACCCUGGGACGCCUCGUCCGCCUCCUCUGAAUCCCGGAAUUCCCGGAAUUCCCGGGAAUUCCCAGCUCUCAGACCCUGGGACGCCUCGUCCGCCUCCUCUGAAUCCCGGAAUUCCCGGGAAUUCCCAGCUCUCAGACCCUGGGACGCCUCGUCCGCCUCCUCUGAAUCCCGGAAUUCCCGGAAUUCCCGGCUCCGCUCAGCAAUACCCCGAGGGAUCCCAAUCCAAUCCCCGAGGGAUCCCAAUCCAUGGGAAAAGUCUUCCUGCACCUUCACCCUCGGGAACGCCGGCGCCUUCCCAGACAUGGGAGCAGAAAAAUCGGGAAAACGGCCGGAAUUUGGGAUGGGAUCCGAUGGAGCCCGAUCCCGCCCCUCGAUCCGGGAUCCAUUCCCACCCCUCCACCCCCACCCCACUCUGCUGCUUCCCGGUGGGAAAUGGGAUCCGUUCCCAGAAUUCCCACCCGGAACCCCCCCUGUACAGAGACCUAUUUUUAAAUAAAGCUUUUGGCUCCUGAUCCCGCUCCGGAAUUCCGGGAUUCCUCAGGAUUUG
rnacentral:lncRNA from 1 species